UGUCAAGUCAUCAUGGCCUUUAUGCCCAGGGCUACACACGUGCUACAAUGGGGAGGACAAAGGGUUGCGAAGGGGCGACCCGGAGCCGAUCCCGAAAAGCCGUCUCAGUUCGGAUUGCACUCUGCAACUCGAGUGCAUGAAGUCGGAAUCGCUAGUAAUCGCGGAUCAGCACGCCGCGGUCGAAUACGUUCCCGGGCCUU
rnacentral:rRNA from 1 species